ensembl:misc_RNA Y_RNA Y RNA
GGCUGGUCCAAGUACAGUGGUGUUUACAACUAAUUGAUCACAACCAGUUAGAUUCUUUUGUUCCUUCUCUAUUCCCACUGCUUCAUUUGACUAACCAAAC